UUCCGGUUGAUCCUGCCUGAGGUCACUGCUAUCAGUGUUCGACUAAGCCAUGCAAGUCAAAUGUUCUUCGUGAACAUGGCGAACUGCUCAGUAACACGUGGAUAACCUGCCCCUGGGAUUGGCAUAACACCGGGAAACUGGUGAUAAUACCGAAUAGACCAUCAUUGCUGGAAUGCUUUUUGGUCCAAAGGCUUCGGCCGCCCAUGGAUGGAUCUGCGGCCUAUCAGGUAGUAGUGGGUGUAAUGUACCUACUAGCCUACGACGGGUACGGGUUGUGAGAGCAAGAGCCCGGAGAUGGGUUCUGAUGACAUGAAUCCAGACCCUACGGGGUGCAGCAGGCGCGAAUACUUUACAAUGCGGGAAACCGCGAUAAGGGGACACUGAGUGCCAGCAUAUUAUGUUGGCUGUCCACAUGUUUAAAAAUCAUGUGUCAGCAAGGGCCGGGCAAGACCGGUGCCAGCCGCCGCGGUAACACCGGCGGCCCGAGUGGUGAUCACUUUUAUUGGGUCUAAAGGGUCCGUAGCCGGUUUGAUCAGUCUUCCGGGAAAUCUGACAGCUCAACUGUUAGGCUUCCGGUGGAUACUGUCAGACUUGGGACCGGGAGAGGUAAGAGGUACUACAGGGGUAGGAGUGAAAUCUUGUAAUCCCUGUGGGACCACCAGUGGCGAAGGCGUCUUACCAGAACGGGUCCGGCGGUGAGGGACGAAAGCUGGGGGCACGAACCGGAUUAGAUACCCGGGUAGUCCCAGCCGUAAACGAUGCUCGCUAGGUGUCAGGGACGGUGCGACCGUUUCUGGUGCCGCAGGGAAGCCGCGAAGCGAGCCACCUGGGAAGUACGGCCGCAAGGCUGAAACUUAAAGAAUUGGCGGG
rnacentral:rRNA from 1 species